UACGUAGGGUGCAAGCGUUGUCCGGAAUUAUUGGGCGUAAAGAGCUCGUAGGCGGUUUGUCGCGUCUGCUGUGAAAACUCGGGGCUCAACUCCGAGCUUGCAGUGGGUACGGGCAGACUAGAGUGCGGUAGGGGAGACUGGAAUUCCUGGUGUAGCGGUGGAAUGCGCAGAUAUCAGGAGGAACACCGGUGGCGAAGGCGGGUCUCUGGGCCGUAACUGGCGCUGAGGAGCGAAAGCAUGGGGAGCGAACAGG
rnacentral:rRNA from 1 species